UAGGGAAGAACAAGUACCGGAGUAACUGCCGGUACCUUGACGGUACCUAACCAGAAAGCCACGGCUAACUACGUGCCAGCAGCCGCGGUAAUACGUAGGUGGCAAGCGUUGUCCGGAAUUAUUGGGCGUAAAGCGCGCGCACGCGGUCCUUUAACUCUGAUGUG
rnacentral:rRNA from 1 species